AAUAAAUCAUUCUUUUACUUUUUACCUACAAUAUUUGAUUCUUCGUCUUAUUUAAAAUUUUUUAUGAUUAAUAUUUUUGUUUUUAUUAAAUGAUAAAUCAUGAAUAAUAAUUUACGUAUGACUAAUCUAUUUUAAUUCCGUAAAAGUUUUUAAAUAAGAUACUUAGUUAAACGUUGGACACGGAAACGGAAAGUU
rnacentral:pre_miRNA from 1 species